rnacentral:lncRNA from 1 species
CUAAUAUGCAAAAAAAAACUACCCACAUCCCACGAUCCCAUCGUAACUACCCACAUCCCACAAACCUCUCCUAUACGCACGCACCAUACGCACGUUCUCCCGGGUAGUUAGACUAGUCCCAUAAAUAUCUCCCAAUGAGAAAGGGAGAGGACAGAGAGCUUUUUGAAUCUUCAGAAUCCAUUCCAAAAAAAAAAAUAUCUAGCCGAGUCCGUCGUUUACGAAAAAAAAAAGAAAAAGGUAAAAAAAAAAUUAUCUUUUUUCCUUCCCCAAAAUCAAA